UUCCGGUUGAUCCUGCCGGAGGUCACUGCUAUUGGGAUUCGACUAAGCCAUGCGAGUCGAGAGGGUUCGGCCCUCGGCUGACGGCUCAGUAACACGUGGAUAAUCUGCCCUUAGGUGGAGGAUAAUCUCGGGAAACUGAGGAUAAUACUCCAUAGAUCUAGGAUGCUGGAAUGCAUCUAGAUUGAAAGCUCCGGCGCCUAAGGAUGAGUCUGCGGACUAUCAGGUUGUAGUCAGGGUAAAGACCUGACUAGCCUACGACGGAUACGGGUUGUGAGAGCAAUAACCCGGAGACGAUAUCUGAGACACGAUGUCGGGCCCUACGGGGCGCAGCAGGCGCGAAAACUUCACACUGUGCGAAAGCGCGAUGAGGGAAUCCCAAGUGUUUGCUCGUAAGAGUAAACUGUUUCUUUGUUUAAAACGCAGAGAGAGUAAGGGCUGGGUAAGACGGGUGCCAGCCGCCGCGGUAAUACCUGCAGCUCGAGUGGUGAUCAUUAUUAUUGGGCCUAAAACGUCCGUAGCCGGUUUAGUAAAUGCCUGGGUAAAUCGUGUAGCUUAACUAUACGACUUCCGGGUAGACUGCUAAACUUGAGACCGGGAGAGGCUAGAGGUACUCCUGGGGUAGAGGUGAAAUUCUGUAAUCCUAGGGGGACCACCAGUGGCGAAGGCGUCUAGCUAGAACGGGUCUGACGGUGAGGGACGAAGCCCUGGGGCACAAACCGGAUUAGAUACCCGGGUAGUCCAGGGUGUAAACGCUGCUUGCUUGAUGUUAGUUGGGCUCCGAGCCCAACUAGUGUCGGAGAGAAGUUGUUAAGCAAGCUGCCUGGGAAGUACGGUCGCAAGGCUGAAACUUAAAGGAAUUGGCGGGGGAGCACCACAAGGGGUGAAGCCUGCGGUUCAAUUGGAUUCAACGCCGGG
rnacentral:rRNA from 1 species